CGAGAAUCGCUCUUCAGGAUAUCCGUUCCGCGGACAUACGGCAGCUCAGGACUAGACGGCCCAGAAGAUUUUCGCUCGUAUGCACAAUCCCGGCUGCAAACGUGCCAUUAUUUUGAUUGAUGCCGAUGCAGCUUAAGACGAAGAAAGUAUUCUGCAUUGGACGCGUCGCAGGGGUAGUUCACAGGUGGAAUGCAAGAAAAAGAAAAGGUCACGGCAUUGGACAUCGUGGACAAUAGAGCACAAUAGAGGCUGACGCGAAACGCUAUCAUUUCCGCAUUAUUAGCUUGGGAAUCAUGCAGAUUAUUAAACAGUCGAAAAUAAUUGUUGCGGAUUUAUAAUGUUGUAUCAUUAUUUAUAUUAUAUAUUAUUUACAUAGAAAUAUAAUUGUACUUUUUUAAAUGCAUAUCCUCUUUUUGAUAAGUACAUGUUAAAUGAAUUUUUCUUUAACGAGACUAUAUAUGUCAUAAUGACACAACAGAUUUUAUAUAAGUUGUUGAAAAUAAAGAGGCUCCGAAUAUUAUGUAAAUUAUUCAUAAAUUAUAUAAUCUCAUCUUUUGGCUAAACAUUUCGAAAGAAAUCUGAUGUAUUUUCAUGAUUAAAUUAUUCGAAAUCCAUUUCAGAUGAUCUACAAUUCACGAUAGAAUUUAGGAUAAAAUUCUAUUUAUAAUUUUGUGUGUUUUGAGAGAAGGAUUUGCAGUUAAAAGAUAUUGUGAUUGGUCUUAGAUUAGCUUGCGCAACGUACGUUAUACAAUUACAGUUUAAUAUGAAAAUGCACAUGUUUAGCAAUUAAAAGUAAAAUUAUAAAUUUUUGUCUUUAUUUGCUCAGUGAAAAGGGAUAAUCGAUAUUCGGUCAUAUACUAACACAUAUUUUUUCAUUCUUAUUUGUACAACCAUUUCUCUCUCUCUCUCUCUCUCUCUCUCUCUCUCUCUCUCUCUCUCUCUCUCUCUCUCUGCGUGCAUGCAUGUGUGUAUGUGUGUGUGUGUGUGUGGUGUAAAUUAAAAAUUUUGUGGAAGUUAUUAUUAUUGCUUCCUUUACGACGUCAUACAACGAUAAAGUACAAACAUUCAUGAUAAAUGGGUAAUUCGAUAUUUUACUUUACACAAUAAAAUAAGUUCAUAGUGCUUAACUAAAAUUCAUUAUUAAGCUUAAUACAAGAAUGAAUUAAAUGAAUUAAAAUUCAGAUAUGUGUACAUGCGAAUGAAAUCUGUAACAUAUUUAAAGAUAGCUUAUUUAGAUUUGUUACUAUACACUUUGUUACUACACGAUUAAUUGCUGUACCGUUGCAGAACUGCGAAAUCUAUUGAGUCACAAAUGAAAUAUCUUUCCGAACUACGCAAGAAAUUAUGAAUUUUCGUUUUGGAUUAUAAGUGCUAAGGCACCA